rnacentral:rRNA from 1 species
UCUUGCGCAAUGGGCGAAAGCCUGACGCAGCGACGCCGCGUGAGCGAUGAAGGCCUUCGGGUUGUAAAGCUCUGUGGGGAGAGAAGAAUAAGGGCUGGCUAAUACCCAGCUCGAUGACAGUAUCUCCUUAGCAAGCACCGGCUAACUCUGUGCCAGCAGUCGCGGUAAUACAGAGGCCCCGAGCGUUAAUCGGAAUCACUGGGCUUAAAGGGUGCGUAGGCGGGCCAGUAAGCGCUUUGUGAAAUCCCACGGCUCAACCGUGGAACCGCAGGGCGAACUGCUGGUCUUGAGGAAGCUAGAGGCGGGUAGAACGAUAGGUGGAGCGGUGGAAUGCGUAGAGAUCUAUCGGAAUGCCGAAAGUGAAGACAGCCCGCUGGGGCUUUCCUGACGCUAAAGCACGAAAGCGUGGGGAGCAAAC